UGGGGAAUCUUGGACAAUGGGGGCAACCCUGAUCCAGCCAUGCCGCGUGAGUGAUGAAGGCCUUAGGGUCGUAAAGCUCUUUCGCCUGUGAAGAUAAUGACGGUAGCAGGUAAAGAAACCCCGGCUAACUCCGUGCCAGCAGCCGCGGUAAUACGGAGGGGGUUAGCGUUGUUCGGAAUUACUGGGCGUAAAGCGCACGUAGGCGGACCAGAAAGUUGGGGGUGAAAUCCCGGGGGCUCAACCCCGGAACUGCCUCCAAAACUAUUGGUCUAGAGUUCGAGAGAGGUGAGUGGAAUUCCAAGUGUAGAGGUGAAAUUCGUAGAUAUUCGGAGGAACACCAGUGGCGAAGGCGGCUCGCUGGCCAGAUACUGACGCUGAGGUGCGAAAGUGUGGGGGAGCAAACAGGAUUAGAUACCCUGGUAGUCCACACCGUAAACGAUGAAUGCCAGUCGUCGGGUAGCAUGCUAUUCGGUGACACACCUAACGGAUUAAGCAUUCCGCCUGGGGAGUACGGUCGCAGAUUAAAA
rnacentral:rRNA from 1 species